CCUCCUCCGCCAGCGUCGUCGCGGAACCUUGGGUGGAGGGUGGAGCUGCGUCGACAUCACCAUCUCCGCGAGCGCGAGUGACUGCAACGAGCGUCGCCUCCUCCUCCAUUAUAUAAACAUAUAAUGGGAAGCAGGUUGCUAGUGUGUUCCCCCCGAGAAAAAGAAAAGGAAAAGGUGUCUUUAGCAGUCUGAAGAAAGCAGCUUAUUACUGGAUGAUGUGCAGCCUGGGAUGCGACUGAAGUCUGAUUAUG